rnacentral:rRNA from 1 species
UCUUGACAAAACAUAAGAGGUCCAGCCUGCCCAGUGACAAAGUUCAACGGCCGCGGUACCCUAACCGUGCAAAGGUAGCACAAUCACUUGUUCUUUAAAUGAGGACUCGUAUCAACGGCAUUACGAGGGCUAUACUGUCUCCUUUUUCUAAUCAGUGAAACUGAUCUCCCCGUGAAGAAGCGGGGAUUAUAAUAUAAGACGAGAAGACCCCAUGGAGCUUUAAACUCACCAUGCACCUCUGUGCUUUCAUACCCCUAAACACAACAGACCUGCAUGUUAGUUUUAGGUUGGGGUGACCACGGAGUAUAACUUAACCUCCACAGCAAACGGGCUAAUACCCUUAUCCACGAGACACAACUCUAAGAAUUACUAAACUAAUGCUUACGACCCGAUAUUCGAUCCAUGAACCAAGUUACCCUGGGGAUAACAGCGCAAUCUACUUCAAGAGCCCAUAUCGACAAGUAGGUUUACGACCUCGAUGUUGGAUCAGGGUAUCCCGGUGGUGCAGCCGCUACCAAUGGUUCGUUUGUUCAACGA